CUCAACGGUGGAAUUGCAGGGCGAACUGCGAGUCUCGAGACAGGUAGGGGCCGUCGGAACGAUAGGUGGAGCGGUGAAAUGCGUAGAUAUCUAUCGGAACGCCAAAGGCGAAGGCAGACGGCUGGGCCUGUUCUGACGCUGAGGUACGAAAGCGUGGGGAGCGAACGGGAUUAGAUACCCCGGUAGUCCACGCCCUAAGCGAUGUGCACUAGGUCGUGGGAGGUUUGACCCUCUCUCGAUCGAAGCGAAAGUGAUUAGUGCACCGCCUGGGGAGUACGGUCGCAAGGCUAAAACUCAAAGGAAUUGACGGGGGCUCACACAAGCGGUGGAGCAUGUGGCUUAAUUCGAAGCAACGCGAAGAACCUUAUCCUGGGUUUGACAUGUAUGGAUUAACCCCGUGAAAGCGGGGCCACGCCUUCGGGUGGAACA
rnacentral:rRNA from 1 species